rnacentral:rRNA from 1 species
GAUGAACGCUGGCGGCGUGCCUAAUACAUGCAAGUCGAGCGAACAGACGAGGAGCUUGCUCCUCUGACGUUAGCGGCGGACGGGUGAGUAACACGUGGAUAACCUACCUAUAAGACUGGGAUAACUUCGGGAAACCGGAGCUAAUACCGGAUAAUAUAUUGAACCGCAUGGUUCAAUAGUGAAAGACGGUUUUGCUGUCACUUAUAGAUGGAUCCGCGCCGCAUUAGCUAGUUGGUAAGGUAACGGCUUACCAAGGCAACGAUGCGUAGCCGACCUGAGAGGGUGAUCGGCCACACUGGAACUGAGACACGGUCCAGACUCCUACGGGAGGCAGCAGUAGGGAAUCUUCCGCAAAGGGCGAAAGCUUGACGGAGCAACGCCGCGUGAGUGAUGAAGGUCUUCGGAUCGUAAAACUCUGUUAUUAGGGAAGAACAAAUGUGUAAGUAACUAUGCACGUCUUGACGGUACCUAAUCAGAAAGUCACGGCUAACUACGUG